rnacentral:rRNA from 1 species
UACGUAGGGCGCAAGCGUUGUCCGGAAUUAUUGGGCGUAAAGAGCUCGUAGGCGGUUUGUCGCGUCUGCCGUGAAAGUCCGGGGCUCAACUCCGGAUCUGCGGUGGGUACGGGCAGACUAGAGUGAUGUAGGGAGACUGGAAUUCCUGGUGUAGCGGUGAAAUGCGCAGAUAUCAGGAGGAACACCGGUGGCGAAGGCGGCAUCCUGGACCGACACUGACGCUGAGGCGCGAAAGCCAGGGAGCAAACGGG